AGCGAACGCUGGCGGCAGGCCUAACACAUGCAAGUCGAACGAACUCUUCGGAGUUAGUGGCGGACGGGUGAGUAACACGUGGGAAUGUGCCUUUUGGUUCGGAAUAACUCAGGGAAACUUGUGCUAAUACCGAAUGUGCCCUUCGGGGGAAAGAUUUAUCGCCAUUAGAGCGGCCCGCGUCUGAUUAGCUAGUUGGUGAGGUAACGGCUCACCAAGGCGACGAUCAGUAGCUGGUCUGAGAGGAUGACCAGCCACACUGGGACUGAGACACGGCCCAGACUCCUACGGGAGGCAGCAGUGGGGAAUCUUGCGAAAUGGGCGAAAGCCUGACGCAGCCAUGCCGCGUGAAUGAUGAAGGUCUUAGGAUUGUAAAAUUCUUUCACCGGGGACGAUAAUGACGGUACCCGGAGAAGAAGCCCCGGCUAACUUCGUG
rnacentral:rRNA from 1 species